UACGUAGGGGGCGAGCGUUGUCCGAAGUUACUGGGCGUAAAGCGCGCGUAGGCGGGAGCGUAAGUCCGCUGUGAAAGCCCGGAGCUUAACUCCGGUUGGUCGGUGGAGACUGCGUUUCUUGAAGGGGCUAGAGGGAGAUGGAAUUACCGGUGUAGCGGUGAAAUGCGUAGAGAUCGGUAGGAACACCCGUGGCGAAGGCGGUCUCCUGGGGCCCUCUUGACGCUGAGGCGCGAAAGCUGGGGGAGCGAACGGGAUUAGAUACCCCGGUAGUCCCAGCCCUAAACGAUGGAUACUAGGUGUGCGGGGUAUCGACCCCCCGCGUGCCGCAGCUAACGCAGUAAGUAUCCCGCCUGGGGAGUACGGCCGCAAGGUUGAA
rnacentral:rRNA from 1 species